GAAAAAGAACCUGAAACCGUGUACGUACAAGCAGUGGGAGCACGCUUAGGCGUGUGACUGCGUACCUUUUGUAUAAUGGGUCAGCGACUUAUAUUCUGUAGCAAGGUUAACCGAAUAGGGGAGCCGAAGGGAAACCGAGUCUUAACUGGGCGUUAAGUUGCAGGGUAUAGACCCGAAACCCGGUGAUCUAGCCAUGGGCAGGUUGAAGGUUGGGUAACACUAACUGGAGGACCGAACCGACUAAUGUUGAAAAAUUAGCGGAUGACUUGUGGCUGGGGGUGAAAGGCCAAUCAAACCGGGAGAUAGCUGGUUCUCCCCGAAAGCUAUUUAGGUAGCGCCUCGUGAAUUCAUCUCCGGGGGUAGAGCACUGUUUCGGCA
rnacentral:rRNA from 1 species